rnacentral:misc_RNA from 1 species
GAUGAAGAACGCAGCGAAAUGCGAUAAGUAAUGCGAAUUGCAGAAUUCAGUGAGUCAUCGAAUCUUUGAACGCACAUUGCGCCCUGUGGUAUUCCGCAGGGCAUGCCUGUUCGAGCGUCAUUUCAACCCUCAAGCUCUGCUUGGUGUUGGGCCCUGCCCGCUCGCGGCCGGCCCUAAAGACAGUGGCGGUGCCGUCUGGCUCUAAGCGUAGUACAUCUCUCGCUCUGGUGCCCGGCGGUGUCCUGCCAGAACCCCCCAACUCUGUGGUUGACCUCGGAUCAGGUAGGGAUACCCGCUGAACUUAAGCAUAUCAAUAAGCGGAGGA